ACUGGGCAUUGUCAGUGUAGAGGGGUACUCACUGGGCAUUGUCAGUGUAGAGGGGUACUCACUGGGCAUUGCCAGUGUAGAGGGGUACUCACUGGGCAUUGUCAGUGUAGAGGGGUACUCACUGGGCAUUGCCAGUGUAGAGGGGUACUCACUGGGCAUUGUCAGUGUAGAGGGGUACUCACUGGGCAUCGCCAGUGUAGAG